UACGGAGGGGGCUAGCGUUGUUCGGAAUUACUGGGCGUAAAGCGCGCGUAGGCGGGAUGGCAAGUCGGUCGUGAAAUCCCUCGGCUCAACCGAGGAACGUCGAUCGAUACUGCUGUUCUUGAGGAUUGCAGAGGAGACUGGAAUUCCCGGUGUAGUGGUGAAAUGCGUAGAUAUCGGGAGGAACACCAGUGGCGCAAGCGGCUGACUGGCCGAGACCUGACGCUGAGACGCGACGGCGUGGGGAGCAAACCGG
rnacentral:rRNA from 1 species